rnacentral:rRNA from 1 species
GAUGAUCGCUAGCGGGAGGCUUAACACAUGCAAGUCGAGGGGCAGCAUGGAGUAGCAAUACUCUGAUGGCGACCGGCAGACGGGUGAGUAACGCGUAUGUAACCUACCCUGUACAGGGGGAUAACCCGGAGAAAUUCGGACUAAUACCCCAUGGAAAUAUUGAGAGGCAUCUUGAGAUAUUUAAAGUUCCGGCGGUACGGGAUGGGCAUGCGUAACAUUAGCUAGUUGGUAAGGUAACGGCUUGCCAAGGCUUUGAUGUUUAGGGGUCCUGAGAGGGUGGUCCCCCACACUGGAACUGAGACACGGACCAGACUCCUACGGGAGGCAGCAGUGAGGAAUAUUGGUCAAUGGGCGCAAGCCUGAACCAGCCAUCCCGCGUGCAGGAAGACGGCCCUAUGGGUUGUAAACUGCUUUUCCAGGGAGAGAAACUCUCGUACGUGUACGGGAUUGACGGUACCCUGGGAAUAAGCAUCGGCUAACUCCGUGCCAGCCGCCGCGGUAA